CCAGUUUCCAAACCUGAUAUAAUCUCCCAGCUGGAACAAGGGGAAGAGCCACGGGUCCCAGACCUGCAGGGUUCUGAGGAAACAGAGAUCCUGAGAGCUCCCUGCACAGCAGGUGAUGCAAUGGAUUGUGAGAAAGAGGAGCAGAAUUCUCAGCAGGAAAAUGUUGAGCAAGUGGAUAAACACAGAGAAUUGUCGCAAAGAUC